AUUGGUGUCGCUGCUGCAGCCGCAAGGCACUGAUUGGAUGCUCACAGACCGUAAUACAGCGCAGAUGAACAUGAUUCAGACUACGGCGUUUAUAUGUUCAACAAUAGGAAACGUAUUCUUAGCUGUUUCAAAAUUACACCAAGUUUAUUUCGGAUUAUUCCAACGGAAGAAUACAAGGCGCAGGGAACUUUGAGCUGGCAGGGAUGUCAAAAGCCAGCUCACAGCAUUUCCUGGCACUUAUGCCAUGAAACAUUGCUGCUAGUGACCUUAUGUGAUCCGCUAGCUCCGUCUCCAUGUAUUCGUUGAAGACUCGGUUGGCAAGUCCUGUUCUCUUAUACCCUGUCUUUGUUACUUCUCCAGUCCUUUCCUUCUCCAUGAAUCUUUUCAAGGUCAUCCUACAGAUCUCCCUUGCCACCUGACGUAUGGUCUUUCCCUGUUCCUCUGUCCAACUCCACCAGAGGAGUUGAAGCCCUGUCUGUCUUCCGUUUAUAUGUGCAUGGAAUGAUGGGUGUUGGUCUAAAAUUAAGAAUGUCACAUAGUUUCCUUAAAUGUGAGAGUACAAUUACAAACUGAUAAUAUGUUGAAAAUAAUCACAAGUGGGCCACUGGCACAACUUAACCCAGGCCCUUUGACACGAAUCACCCCCGACCCACAAGUUUAAAAAACUAGCAUGAUUUAGCAGUUAAGAGCUAACGUCAUGCUAACUAUAGACUUAUUGUGUAGCCUGCUAAAGCACUAAAACAUGUGUGAAACGUUCUCAAACGUGUCUAUGAUUUAGACACUACAAUCGAAAAACCUUAAUCAAAGAAAUUUUCUUUUAAAGGAAAAAUCAGUUUUUGGAGCAACAAUGUGCUUAACUCUCAUGCCAUGCAUCUCUCUCCUUUGGAGGAUGAGUAAAAUUGAUGGCUUUUCAAAAUGAUGCGGUCAUAUGACCAAUUUUUGUAAUGAUAUGACAUGUGUGUUUAUUUUCGCUACCCACCAACUUAAUGUUUCGUAAUUUAUGCCGUCUAUUAGUUUUAUAAAAAACAACCCCAAAAUCUGUGAUGCAUUGCAUUGCAAGCGUCUACACCAUCCAAGAAUCAAGGCAAUGUAGAUAUUGUGUCCUUUAAACUGCAUUAUGAUUAGAAACAAAGACAUGCCCUUGUAACACUGCAACAAUAGAAAUAAUCUGAUAUACGAAUUUGAUCAAUCAAAUUGAAUUAAACUAACAUUUCUGCUGUAGUUCUGUUUGAUGGGCGGUUUCUGUUGGUUUUGUGUGUCAACCAAAAAUAAGAACACACAUUGGAGAUUGUUACAAUCAUUCAUGACCGAGAGAAGUUAAAUAUUACAUGGCCCUGGUCAAUUUGCAUUAGAUUACAAAACAAAAAACAGAACGAUAACAAAAAUCUCAAAUAUUUAAUUAGUGCUCACUUCAUCAGAACCGUUGGGCAGGGCAACAGUAAGCCUGGCUUAGUUAAAGCACACAUGGAUUUAGAUAAAAAGGUGUGACCUUACUCCUUUUUUCCCUGGGACCUAAUCAACAUGGGCUAGAGAUUAGUUUAUUUUGAAAAAGGUGCGCGGG
ensembl:lncRNA